rnacentral:lncRNA from 13 species
AGCAAAGUCAUGUUCCAGAGGCAGAAUUCAGCAGCCAGAGCAAUUUUUAAAAGUCUGCUGGAGUUUGCUGGAGGUCCACUCCAGACCCUAUUUGCCUUGGUGUCACCAGCAGAGGCUACAAAAGAGCAAAGAUUGCUGCCUGUUCUCUCUGAAAGUUUCACACUAGAGGAGCACCCACCAGAUGCCAGCUGGAGCUUUCCGAAAGCUGCUGACCAUCUGCUAUUCCUAAGACUUUGGACACCGUGGAGAAAGAGUAAUAGUGCAUUUAUGAUUGUUCUAGGAAACAAGAAGCCAAGAAUUAGACAAAUUGGCUGGGCACGGUGGCUCAUGCCUGCAAUCCCAGCACUUUGGGAGGCCAAGGCUAAAGACGGCUAAAGUCACUGGACACCUUUGCAGCCUUGUCAUCUGCUCCUUGUCAGAGCUGAGUUGGGAAAAGCCAACCUCAGAGCUGCCUCUGUAGGAGUCGGGCGCUCUCCAUUCCCUGCACGCCCCGGUCCCAACCCUGGCUUCAGCUUCUAUCCCAGAAAAGAGGAUCAAAACCACAGGUUCCAAGAACAAACAUUGCGCCAGCGCCUCUGUUUUGGAGAAAAGGAAAAGGGUGUGAGGUUUCGGUCAAUUUUGUCUGAGGAAAUGAGAUGAAAAGGGGUGAGCAGGGGACCAGGUGUCCUGAGCGCAGCCAAUUUUGUUCGCUCCCAAGCGACUCGGGCUCUUGGCAGGACUUGCUGCGGAGUCCCUGACGGAGUGAGCCACUGAGGCCUUCAGAAUCCCAGGAAAUCUGGGCGUUUCUGGGUGUCCCAGGAAAUCUGUCGGCAGGUGGGGAAGGGCUCGGGGAAACAUCCGACAGUGGCGCCAGGCAAGAGGACAGAAAUGCUCCUUUCAUUCGCCUUGCAAAGCAGAGCAUUUGGUCCCCGCCGGCGUCUGACUCUGUUGCGACAAUCUAGAUGCUACCUGAGUUCCCGGUGUUUUCUUCAUAUUCAAUGACACAGGAGAUCCGGGGUGCAAGGGGGACUUCUGUCUCUCAAGGAAUAGAAGUCUGACAAACGUACAGAAAUGAGUUUCGGGUUGAACAAGACCCGCUUCUGCCUUCCUCCCGCACCCAGCCUUGAUUCUCCAGAUGCUUCCCAACUUCCUCUUCAUAUUUGACGCAACUGCACGGGUUUCAACCUGCGCUUUCGUUAGAAUACUUCUAUUUUCCCACUAAAACAAUGCCCACACUCAGUUUGCUUGGUGAAAACGUUAAUAAUGCCCACUUAGAAAACCAGCGAUAAUCGCUGCUUGCAUGAAGUGGCCAUUUGAAUAGAUUUGGGGUGUGAUUUAGAGACUUACGGAUGGAUAUUUUAAAAAAAAAGCAAAAGUAGUAACAUUAUAGCACUGGCAAUGUGUGUGUGCAUACAUACACAUAUACAAAUUUUAAAUAAAGUUCGAUUCUUUCACCUGGCUGGUCA